rnacentral:rRNA from 1 species
UACGUAGGGGGCGAGCGUUGUCCGGAAUCAUUGGGCGUAAAGCGCGUGUAGGCGGCUUCGUAAGUCCGUUGUGAAAGUCCAGGGCUCAACCCUGGAAUGCCGAUGGAUACUGUGGAGCUAGAGUCCGGAAGAGGCGAGUGGAAUUCCUGGUGUAGCGGUGAAAUGCGCAGAUAUCAGGAGGAACACCAAUGGCGAAGGCAGCUCGCUGGGACGGUACUGACGCUGAGACGCGAAAGCGUGGGGAGCAAACAGG